rnacentral:rRNA from 1 species
CACACAGUAAACGAUGAAUACUCGCUGUUUGCGAUAUACAGUAAGCGGCCAAGCGAAAGCGUUAAGUAUUCCACCUGGGGAGUACGCCGGCAACGGUGAAACUCAAAGGAAUUGACGGGGGCCCGCACAAGCGGAGGAACAUGUGGUUUAAUUCGAUGAUACGCGAGGAACCUUACCCGGGAUUGAACGUAAGUGGAAUAACGUCAAAAGAUGUUAGCUAGCAAUAGCCACUUACGAGGUGC